AGUGAACGCUGGCGGUAGGCCUAACACAUGCAAGUCGAACGGCAGCACAGUAAGAGCUUGCUCUUACGGGUGGCGAGUGGCGGACGGGUGAGGAAUACAUCGGAAUCUACUUUUUCGUGGGGGAUAACGUAGGGAAACUUACGCUAAUACCGCAUACGACCUACGGGUGAAAGCAGGGGAUCUUCGGACCUUGCGCGAUUGAAUGAGCCGAUGUCGGAUUAGCUAGUUGGCGGGGUAAAGGCCCACCAAGGCGACGAUCCGUAGCUGGUCUGAGAGGAUGAUCAGCCACACUGGAACGGAGACACGGACAAGACGCCUACGGGAGGCAGCAGUGGGGAAUAUUGGACAAUGGGCGCAAGCCUGAUCCAGCCAUACCGCGUGGGUGAAGAAGGCCUUCGGGUUGUAAAGCCCUUUUGUUGGGAAAGAAAAGAAGCAGGUUAAUACCCCGCUGUUCUGACGGUACCCAAAGAAUAAGCACCGGCUAACUUCGUG
rnacentral:rRNA from 1 species